GAUACCUUGCCUCAUAGUUAACUACUGAAUCAAAAAAAAUGUUAUUAAUGAAAACCGAUCUCGCCUAUCAUUUGUAUACAAAUCCUAUUUCGAUGUCUAUCAGAAGCAAUUGGAAUAUUGAACAGGAGAUAAGCGCUAGUAUACCUUGUUAUCAGCGUUAUCUUUCAAAUAGAUGUUCAUUACUGGCUUUAACGUUAUCAUGUCAGUUUGUAAGAUAACUUUCGGAGAACAGUAUAAAAGAAAGGAAACAAUUGUAUUUCUUUGAUAUUCGUUUCUUGCGCUAUCAUCAUGAAUUUCUUGGCAUUUGUUUGCUUGUGCGUUUUCCUUGUCCUGGCUAUCACUGUUCCUAGUGAAGCUGGCCUUUUGGAUGAUUUCAACCACGCUAUUGGCACAGCUAUUGUCAAAGUUGUCAACACAAUUACAAACGGAAUUGGUUGGUCUCUUCCUUAAAUUUUGAUCCUUUGGAUUGGAAAUUUUGGAAAAUGAUUGGUCAAGAAGCUGAGAAUAAAUAAGUUUGCAGAA